GAUGAAGAACUUAGCGAAAUGCGAUACGUAAUGUGAAUUGCAGAAUUCAGUGAAUCAUCGAAUCUUUGAACGCACAUUGCGCCCUCUGGUAUUCCGGGGGGCAUGCCUGUUCGAGCGUCAUUAUAACCACUCAAGCUCUCGCUUGGUAUUGGGGUUCGCGGUUCCGCGGCCCCUAAAAUCAGUGGCGGUGCCUGUCGGCUCUACGCGUAGUAAUACUCCUCGCGAUUGAGUCCGGUAGGUCUACUUGCCAGCAACCCCCAAUUUUUACAGGUUGACCUCGGAUCAGGUAGGGAUACCCGCUGAACUUAAGCAUAUCAAUAAGCAGAGGA
rnacentral:misc_RNA from 1 species